UGGAGAUUUCAACUGUGUUGUGGAUUCAAAUCGGGACAUCAAGGCCCAGGGCAGGUUGGCUCGACCUAUAAUGCCAGGGAGCUCAUUAACAUACUUCGACAUCUCCUGCUAUCUGAUGCGUGGAUCGCUCUUCACCAGGACCGCUUCGAAGCCACGAGAUUCGGCGACCGCACCGAAAGUAGAAUAGACCUGGAGGACGUGGAGGACGGUCAGCCUCUCCCCGCAUCUACCACAGGUUGGAGGCUCGUUUCCCGAGGACGUGGAGUACGGUCAGCCUCUCCCCGCAUCUACCACAGGUUGGAGGCUUACUUCCGGUAUCUGAUGUCCACA